CCUGGAAUGUUUUCCCUUGGAAAAUGUUUGAAAGUACCUGCUAUCUGGUGCAAUCUGGUGCAUUCCACAGAAAAGAGAUUUUGCUCCUCCAAGGCAUUUUUAUGAGCCCUAGGACGUAGACAUACUCCGAGAAAGCACCUCAACCUUUUGAAAAGGAACUCCACCUGAGAUCCAGACUGAAUAAAGGCUUGCCUCCACUUAAAUGUUUUGCUAUUCUUCCAAUACCAAUAUAGUUAAAGUGCCAGAUUCCACCCCCUAGUGUGGAUGCAGUUAUAUGGUAUAGAAGUGCUUAUACUAGUAUAGUUUAUUCUGGUUCAGGAAGGCCAUCUCUGCACUAGAAACAAAUGACAGUAUAGGAAUACCAGGAUACUAUACUGACAAAGCAUUCCUGCCUAAAGCUGCAAAACUGAAUGUAAUAAAACUACCCCUCAUAAGCAAAACAAGCUAUACCAGGCAUAAAAGCACAGUUUUACUGGUGUAGCUACAUCUACCUCAGGGGCUUCUGCCAGCACAGCUAUGUCAGUCAGAGAUCACACCUCUUACACCCCAGCUCAACACAGCUAUGCCAGCAGAAGUCUGUCGUGUAGGCAUAGCCUAAAUGAGAAAAGCUAUACCAAUAUAAGGCACUUUUAUACUGAUAUAAAUAUAUCUACACUAGGGCUUUUACCAGCAUAGCUAUGCUGGCAAAAAUUCACACCCCUACCGAACAUAGUUGUUCUGGUAAAAAGUUUUAAGUGUAGACAAGCCCUGAGAG